AGUAACGCGUGGAUAACCUGCCUCACACUGGGGGAUAACAGUUAGAAAUGACUGCUAAUACCGCAUAAGCGCACAGUACCGCAUGGUACAGUGUGAAAAACUCCGGUGGUGUGAGAUGGAUCCGCGUCUGAUUAGCCAGCUGGCGGGGUAACGGCCCACCAAAGCGACGAUCAGUAGCCGACCUGAGAGGGUGACCGGCCACAUUGGGACUGAGACACGGCCCAA
rnacentral:rRNA from 1 species